rnacentral:rRNA from 1 species
UACAGAGGUCCCAAGCGUUGUUCGGAUUCACUGGGCGUAAAGGGUGCGUAGGUGGCGGGGCAAGUCUGAUGUGAAAUCUCCGAGCUUAACUCGGAAACUGCAUCGGAUACUGCUUCGCUCGAGGGUUGGAGGGGGGACUGGAAUACUUGGUGUAGCAGUGAAAUGCGUAGAUAUCAAGUGGAACACCAGUGGCGAAGGCGGUUCUCUGGGCAUGAUCUGACGCUGAGGAGCGAAAGUGUGGGGAGCGAACAGG